UACGGAGGGUGCAAGCGUUAUCCGGAUUCACUGGGUUUAAAGGGUGCGUAGGUGGACAGGUAAGUCAGUGGUGAAAUCCCCGAGCUUAACUCGGGAACUGCCGUUGAUACUAUCUGUCUUGAAUAUCGCGGAGGUAAGCGGAAUAUGUCAUGUAGCGGUGAAAUGCUUAGAUAUGACAUAGAACACCGAUUGCGAAGGCAGCUUACUACACGAUCAUUGACACUGAGGCACGAAAGCGUGGGGAGCAAACAGG
rnacentral:rRNA from 2 species